UUGAGUUCAUGAUGGACUCCGAGAUUAGUAGAAUGCUUGCUACCCCAUAUACUGAUAAGUCUUCAAAUCCUAAUCAACCAGCCUUUGGUUGCGGCCAAGACAAACGCUACUGCCUCCCAGAGAAAAAUAACAAUUGCCGCAGUGUGUACCAACGGGAUUGCUAAUUGGCAUAUUUUACUACUACUGUCUCAACUAUUCCGUGCAGAUGGAUUAAAAUUGUUGUUUACAAAUAAAUGGUCAGUCAUGUAUUCUUCUUCUCCUUCUCUUCUAAUUUUAAUGUUUGCAUCAUUAUUGAUAAAAAAAA
rnacentral:misc_RNA from 1 species